rnacentral:rRNA from 1 species
UACGAAGGGGGCUAGCGUUGCUCGGAAUCACUGGGCGUAAAGGGUGCGUAGGCGGGUCUUUAAGUCAGGGGUGAAAUCCUGGAGCUCAACUCCAGAACUGCCUUUGAUACUGAAGAUCUUGAGUUCGGGAGAGGUGAGUGGAACUGCGAGUGUAGAGGUGAAAUUCGUAGAUAUUCGCAAGAACACCAGUGGCGAAGGCGGCUCACUGGCUCAUUACUGACGCUCAGGCGCGAUAGCGUGGGGAUCAAACAGG